AGCGAACGCUGGCGGCAGGCUUAACACAUGCAAGUCGAGCGGGCCCUUCGGGGUCAGCGGCAUACGGGUGAGUAACCCGUUGGAACGUACCCUUUGGUUCGGAAUAACGCUGGGAAACUAGCGCUAAUACCGGAUACGCCCUUUUGGGGAAAGGCUUGCUGCCGAAGGAUCGGCCCGAGUCUGAUUAGCUAGUUGGUGGGGUAAUGGCCUACCCAGGCGACGAUCAGUAGCUUGGCUGAGAGGAUGAUCAGCCACACUGGGACUGAGACACGGCCCAGACUCCUACGGGAGGCAGCAGUGGGGAAUAUUGGACAAUGGGCGCAAGACUGAUCCAGCCAGGCCGCGUGAGUGAUGAAGGCCUUAGGGUUGUAAAGCUCUUUUGUCCGGGACGAUAAUGACGGUACCGGAAGAAUAAGCCCCGGCUAACUUCGUG
rnacentral:rRNA from 1 species